GGGGGGAUAGACGGAUCAGAGAGAGGAUAGACAGACAUGGAUGAGAGAGAGAGGAUAGACAUGAGAGAGAGAGAGGAUAGACAUGGGAGAGAGAGAGGAGAUAGACAUGGGAGAGAGAGAGAGGAUAGACAUGGGAGAGAGAGAGAGGAUAGACAUGGGAGAGAGAGAGAGAGGAUAGACAUGGGAGAGAGAGAGAGGAUAGACAUGGGAGAGAGAGAGGAGAUGGACAUGGGAGAGAGAGAGAGGAUAGAAAUGGGAGAGAGAGAGAGGAUAGACAGACAUGGGAGAGAGAGAGGAUAGACAGAUAUGGGAGAGAGAGAGGAUAGACAGACAUGGGAGAGAGAGAGAGGAUAGACAGACAUGGGGAGAGAGAGAGGAUAGACAUGGGAGAGAGAGAGGAUAGACAUGGGAGAGAGAGAGGAUAGACAUGGGAGAGAGAGAGAUGAUAGACAUGGGAGAGAGAGAGAGGAUAGACA
ensembl:lncRNA